CUGAGCCACCCAGGGGCCCCUAGAAACAACUCUUCUAUACAAGUAUCCUGUGCCACGUUUGGGGAACUGAUGCCUGCCACUUGAUCUUGUCUUCCUGCUGUCGGUGCAUGAGUGUCACUUGGUUGCUGCUAAGGAGAGAGAGACAGCGACAGAAGGAACACAAGCAGGGGGAGAGGGAGAAGCAGGCCUCCCGCGCAGCUGGGAGCCUGACGCGGGGCUCGAUCCCGGGACGCCGGGAUCACGACACGAGCCGAAGAAAGACGCCCAACGACUGAGCCACCCAGGCGCGCCUCGCCCAACCAGUUCUUGAGGCAAAUGGGGUAUUGACAGGGUGGAUAUUAACACCUCUCUUACUUGGUAAAUGACAAAACUGAGGCUCAGUAAAGCUUCUUCACUUCUGCAAGGUGCCCAGCACGUCAAAUACUGUCGGCUUCUGCUCACAAAGGAGAGAAGACUGCCACAGAAAGUGACACCUAAUGACUGUUUUCAGCCCACAGUGGGUAACGGGAAAGGCCCCAUGUUUAAAGCCAUUGCCUGAGAUGUGGGGCUUGCACCUGCCAGAUCCAGAUCUUGCUUCCUCCAGGAAGCCUUCCAGGACUCCUCCGCCCAAUGCUUAUCUCUCCUUGCCUGACCUUUCAACAAGUUAGUGAUUCACUAUCCUGUAUCC